CCUACGGGUGGCUGCAGUGAGGAAUAUUGGUCAAUGGACGAGAGUCUGAACCAGCCAAGUCGCGUGAAGGAUGACUGCCCUAUGGGUUGUAAACUUCUUUUAUAAAGGAAUAAAACGAGGCACGUGUGCCUUUUUGCAUGUACUUUAUGAAUAAGGAUCGGCUAACUCCGUGCCAGCAGCCGCGGUAAUACGGAGGAUCCGAGCGUUAUCCGGAUUUAUUGGGUUUAAAGGGUGCGUAGGUGGGUUGUUAAGUAAGUUGUGAAAGUUUGGGGCUCAACCGUCAAAUCGCGGUUGAUACUGGCAGUCUUGAGUAUAGGUGAGGUAUGCGGAAUGCGUGGUGUAGCGGUGAAAUGCUUAGAUAUCACGAAGAACCCCGAUUGCGAAGGCAGCUUACUAACCUGUGACUGACGUUGAGGCACGAAAGUGUGGGUAUCAAACAGGAUUAGAUACCCUGGUAGUC
rnacentral:rRNA from 1 species